GAUGAACGCUGGCGGCGUGCUUAACACAUGCAAGUCGAACGGAAAGGCUCCUGCUUGCAGGGGUACUCGAGUGGCGAACGGGUGAGUAACACGUGGGUGAUCUGCCCUGCACUUCGGGAUAAGCCUGGGAAACUGGGUCUAAUACCGGAUAGGACCAUCGUUUAGUGUCGGUGGUGGAAAGUUUUUUCGGUGUGGGAUGAGCUCGCGGCCUAUCAGCUUGUUGGUGGGGUAAUGGCCUACCAAGGCGUCGACGGGUAGCCGGCCUGAGAGGGUGUACGGCCACAUUGGGACUGAGAUACGGCCCAGACUCGUACGGGAGGCAGCAGUGGGGAAUAUUGCACAAUGGGCGCAAGCCUGAUGCAGCGACGCCGCGUGGGGGAUGACGGCCUUCGGGUUGUAAACUCCUUUCGCCAGGGACGAAGCGAAAGUGACGGUACCUGGAUAAGAAGCACCGGCUAACUACGUG
rnacentral:rRNA from 1 species